AAUAAAUUAAUUUUUUAGUUUUGGGAUAUAACAUUUGACUCUUCAUCUUAUCUAAUUUUUUUUACAAUUAAUAUUUAUAUUGUUAUUAUAUGAUAAAUCAUAAAUAGUAUUUUACACGUUACUAUUUUUUUGAUUUUCUAUAAUUUUUAAAUAAGAUGGAUGGUCAAACAUGUUCAAUACAGAAACACGGAAAUGCUCUCUUU
rnacentral:pre_miRNA from 1 species